ACGAGUGGCGGACGGGUGAGUAAUGUCUGGGAAACUGCCUGAUGGAGGGGGAUAACUACUGGAAACGGUAGCUAAUACCGCAUAACGUCGCAAGACCAAAGAGGGGGACCUUCGGGCCUCUUGCCAUCGGAUGUGCCCAGAUGGGAUUAGCUAGUAGGUGGGGUAACGGCUCACCUAGGCGACGAUCCCUAGCUGGUCUGAGAGGAUGACCAGCCACACUGGAACUGGGACACGGUCCGG
rnacentral:rRNA from 1 species